CCUACGGGCGGCAGCAGUGAGGACUAUUGGUCAAUGGGCGGAAGCCUGAACCAGCCAAGUCGCGUGAGGGAAUAAGGCCCUACGGGUCGUAAACCUCUUUUGCCGGGGAGCAAGGGUCGGGACGAGUCCCGGUCCGGCGAGUCCCCGGAGAAAAAGCAUCGGCUAACUCCGUCCCUGCAGCCGCGGUAAUACGGGGGAUGCGAGCGUUAUCCGGAUUUUUGGGGGUUCAAGGGUGCGUAGGCGGGCUUUUAAGUCAGCGGUAAAAAUUCGGGGCUAAACGACGUCCGGCCGUUGAGACUGGGGGCCGUGAGUGGGCGAGAAGAAGGCGGAAUGCGUGGUGUAGCGGUGAAAUGCAUAGAUAUCACGCAGAACCCCGAUUGCGAAGGCAGCCUUCCGGCGCCCUACUGACGCUGAGGCACGAAAGUGCGGGGAUCGAACAGGAUUAGAUACCCGAGUAGUC
rnacentral:rRNA from 1 species